GUCCAAUGAGUUCCUUAUGAUUUAAAUCAGGAUCUCCAAUUCUCCAGAUGUCGAGCGGAAUUUCUUCUCUUUAAGGUGAUGCAUCCGGAUGCAUCCUCUUUUCCCUUCCACUUUCACCCUUUUUCUGCGAAUCCCCCGUUCUUGUGUAGUACGAUCGCCCAGGUCACCGCACUUCCUAGUAAAUUUAUCGUGAUUCCAACGCAUCUUCAUCCGUGAUCCGCCUGUUGUGUCCAUUUCUCUUGUCGUGACGUCGUCGUGGUCCUUUAGAAGGAGAAGAACAUUUUUUCAACUACAAAAAUUCUAUCACGCCCAGCAAAGAAAACACCAAGCUUCGAAACUGUUCGUUUCCAGACAUGACCGUCAGCCAUCAAAG